GGGUUGUGAGGUUAAGCGACUAAGCGUACACGGUGGAUGCCCUGGCAGUCAGAGGCGAUGAAGGACGUGCUAAUCUGCGAUAAGCGUCGGUGAGGUGAUAUGAACCGUUAUAACCGGCGAUUUCCGAAUGGGGAAACCCAGUGUGUUUCGACACACUAUCAUUAACUGAAUCCAUAGGUUAAUGAGGCGAACCGGGGGAACUGAAACAUCUAAGUACCCCGAGGAAAAGAAAUCAACCGAGAUUCCCCCAGUAGCGGCGAGCGAACGGGGAGGAGCCCAGAGCCUGAAUCAGUGUGUGUGUUAGUGGAAGCGUCUGGAAAGGCGCGCGAUACAGGGUGACAGCCCCGUACACAAAAAUGCACAUAUUGUGAGCUCGAUGAGUAGGGCGGGACACGUGGUAUCCUGUCUGAAUAUGGGGGGACCAUCCUCCAAGGCUAAAUACUCCUGACUGACCGAUAGUGAACCAGUACCGUGAGGGAAAGGCGAAAAGAACCCCGGCGAGGGGAGUG
rnacentral:rRNA from 1 species